GCCCCGUAGCUCAAUCGGAAUUAGAGCGGAGCGCUUCGAACGCUCAGGCUGUGGGUUCAAAUCCUACCGGGGGUCCCA
rnacentral:tRNA from 1 species